rnacentral:lncRNA from 10 species
AUCUUAUUUAAGAAAGUAAAGCUGCUUCUUUCACGAAAACAACUAUACAGGUACCUAGAGGAUUUGGGUACAAUUUCAGAUCAUUAAAAUACAUCUGUAGAUCCUAAAGAUAAAGAAGUCCUGUUCUAAAGUAUCACAACUAAUUUGAAUGACUGACAUGGGAUAUUUUGAGGCUUCCAGUAAGAAUUUAUUUUAUAUAAGCUAAAUAGGCAAUUAGACAUUUGCUACAUUGGGACCUCAUAUUAUAAGAUUUUGCUUUUUUUUUUUCUUGGAAUUCAGGUUUUUAGGGUAGUGGUCCCCAACUUUUUUGGCAGCAGGGACUGGUUCAUGGAAGACAAUUUUUCUGCUGAGCAGGGGUGGGAGGUGGGCAGGGUUGGGUGAUGGUUUCGGGAUGAAACUGUUUCACCUCAGAUCAUCAGGCAUUAGAUUCUCAUAAGGAGCACACAACCUAGAUCCUUUGCAUAUGCAGUUCACAGUGGCAUUUCUGCUUCUUUGAGAAUUUAAUGCUGCUGCUGAUCUGACAGGAGGUGGAGCUCAGGUGGUAAUGCUCACUUCCCCGCCAUUCACCUGCUGCUGUGCAACCCUGUUCCUAAUAGGCCACAGACCAGUACAUGUCCACAGCCCAGGGGCAUGGCAAGAGGAGACAUUAGCAAAUAUGCAGAUUGUCCUGUUUACAUGUCAGCUCUGAAGACUGUUGAGUUGAUGGGUCUUCCCUUGGUUGCAAGCCAACAGCAGUCAGAAGCAAGAAACCUUGUCUAGAUUUCACAAUAACCUUGUCACAAGUCUCACGUUUCCUGUAGGAAAGCUGAAUUUACCAGCACACUCACUGUGAGUAAAACUGUAACUCUGCUCUGAGCAGAAGGCUUGUGCUGAGGAUAAAAACAAAUUCUCAGUGGAAAUACAAAAUUGAUCUAUUAAUUCCUGGAUGCUAAAGACAAUGAUUUUUUCCUGUCUGGUGGCUGUUUUUCUUUUGUAUGUAACUUUCAGUUUAUUUCCGUAGUUAGGAAAGAGAUAAAGCAACUUGAGAAAGCAUAGGAAGGUGUAGUCCCCUGAAAUCUAAAUGAAGCCUGUUUGGUCUUGCAGUUUCCUGUGCAGGUCUGGCCUGGGGCAGGACUAUAUGGGCAUCUGCAGCCCACACAAUGUAGGAAAAAGACUGGUAGAAUAUUAUCAUUAACUAAAGUAACUAUAGAUGUUCAUUACUGAGCACUUAUUGUACAAUGGCCAUUGGGCUAGGUGCUCUACCUAAAUUACAUUAAAUUCUCACCACUCUAAAAAGUAGGUAUCAUUUUUCUUUUAUGUGGAAGGGGCUGUGCCACUGAAUGGGUAAGAGCACAGACUCUGGCUUUCCACAAUCUCGAUUCAUACAUAUUGGCCUUGUGACCUUGAGAAAGUUACUUAGUCUCCUUGUGCGGCAUUUCUUUCAUCUGUAAAAUGGGGCUAAAACACAAAUUUGAAUCCAGGUCAGAGUUUCUUUUUUAAAUUUAUUUUUUAAUAAAAAAUUUUAAUGAGAUGUAAUUCACAUAUAUUAAAAUUUGCCCAUUUAAAGUGUACAAUACCAUGUUUUUAUUUUUCAUUUUUAAAUUUUAAUUUUUAUUCUUCCAACCUUUUUUUUUUUUUUUUUUUUCUGAGACAAGGUCUCACUCUGUUACCCAGGCUGGAGUGCACUGGGGCGAUCUCGGCUUACUGCAACCUCGGCUCACUGCAACCUCUGCCUCCCGGGCUCAAGUGAUUCUCUUGCUUCAGCCUUCUAAGUAGCUGGAAUUAACAGGCAUGUGCCACCACGCCUGGCUAAUUUUUUGUAUUUUUAGUAGAGACAGAGUUUCACGAUGUUGGCCAGGCUGGUCUUGAGCUCCUGGCCUCAAGUGAUCUGGCCACCUUUGCCUCCCAAAGUGCUGGAAUUAUGGGCGUGAGACACUGCGCCUGGCCUUUCCCACCUUCCACCCUCAAGUGGGCCCCAGUGUCUAUUGCUCCCCUCUAUGUGUCCAUCUGUACUCAAUGUUUAGCUCCCACUUAUGUGGUCAGUGUUUAGCUCCCACUUUAGAACAUGCGGUAUUUGGUUGUCUGUUCCUGAAUCAAUUUGUUUAGGAUAAUGUCAGCCAGGGUUUCUACCCAGGAAAGCCUACUGCCUGAUUCAGUCCUUAGCUAAAUUGUAAAGAUCCCUUUGAUUCCUCCCUCCAGCCCUCCUUUCUCACUACAGCACCCUCUCUCCCUAUCUCCACUAACAAGAUCUUUCCUUCCCUCUCCUUCUUCUCUUCAUAACUUCGCUUGCAACUUCCGGUUUCCAGGCUACAGAAUGCCAGCUUUCACAAGUGUGAGGACUGCUAUGAAAGAGAGGCACAUGCAUAGCAAGGGCAUUUUUAGACCUCCAAAGCCUCAGGAACACAGGAAGUAAUUCUCUAAUAAAUAGAUAUCUGGAAUUGUAACUGGUUGAAGGAAAUACUUGGUGCCAAAUUCCUAUUUAGUGCUCCUCAAAACACACGAUGAUGGAAAGUGGCCUCCUCCUUUUUCUAAAUUAAUUGGGCUUUGAUAUGGGUCUGGAAGAAACUCAUGAGCUGCAGUCUUUCAUUCAGGAACUUAAUAACUUUUGGCCAUAGUUGGAAUGACUUGUCAUGUUUGGGUCCAGCCAAUAGGGAACACAGGUCACAUCUUUCCCUGCAUAAGCCCACAGCCACCCAUGCUGUGGGUAGCUGUCCCUUUCCUUUCCCUUCAUAAAGUGGAUAGGAGGCGAAUAAGGCUGAAUAGUAAUUAUAAACAUCUGGUGGUUACUUUAUGAUUAGGUCAUGUUAAAGAUUUUGGGAAGCCUUCCAUCAGUCUCAGUUAAUAUCUUUCCAAUUAUGUUUACAUUGACAUUUACCCUGGGCCCUGUAACUUCUCAUUAUGCCUUCUGGAGUUAUCCCAUACGCUCUGGGCGUGGUGAGAAGUUCACCAGGGAGGCAAGGAUUACUGCUGCUACUGCUUGAUCAAGGGGAAAGGCAGCCAGCAGUUCCAAGGAGCCAGGAAGGGACUGCCCAGACAUGAAGAAAGAUAAUGUGGUUACUAUUUUGUCAUAUACUUUGGCUUUAUUUUACCUGAAAGUUCAAUGACCAAGAUACUAGAAAAAGUCUUCAUAGCACUGAGGGGCUGUUUCUGAAUUAGAGACACAACUGAUAGUUGGAAGCCUGUUGUUUGUGAGAAAGAAUUGUUUGACUAGCAACACACCUAGCCUCUCUGCAUUAAUCUCCCAAAUGAAAUUCAGAACAGGUAUUGGAAGCCUAGACAUGAAAUGAAAGAAAAAUGUAUGAACUAAGUACACUGAUUGCAUUCAUUCAGCAGGUGUUUUCUUGUUGUCUGAGCAACUUCUAUAUAUUUAGCUCACUGCAUAACAAGGUGCAGAUACAGUGGUAUAUAAGACAUUGUCAGCUGGGCACGGUGGCUCAGGCCUGUAAUCCCAGCACUUUGGGAGGCCGAGGUGGGCAGAUCACUUGAGGUCAGGAGUUCAAGACCAGCCUGACCGACACGGUAAAACCCCAUCUCUACUAAAAAAAAAAAAUACAUAAACAAAGCCGGGCGUGGUGGCAUAUGCCAGUAAUCCCACCUACUUGGGAGGCUGAGGCAGGAGAAUCAGUUAAACCCGGGAGGCAGAGGUUUCAGUGAGCCGAGAUGGUGCCACUGCACUCCAGCCUGGGCAACAGAGUGAGACUCCGUCUCAAAAAAAAAAAAAAAAGACAUUGUCUCCUUUCUCUAAAGCCAUAUGGUUUAGUUGGGUGGUAAGGUAGAUGAUAAAAUAUUUACAUAAAAUUAUAAGUAUAGAAAAUGAAGCAUAUACUCUAAGUAAUACACAAAAAUGUCUCCUGAUAAGCCUUUUAUUUUGUGUUUGGUGUAAUUUUUUAAAGUGACAUGUUCAUGUUUUUGAAUAAAUUUUACUUACGUCUUUGUGUUUUUAUGUACUUUCCAGUGGAAAAUUAUUAAAAAUGUUUUCCCAGCAAAUCAACACAAUUUAAUAGUAAAUAGCAAUAUUAGCAGCAUUCCAUCUAGUGCAAAAUAGGUCUUUCAAGCACAGUGGCCAAUGACCGUGGAGAAGUCUCCCAGGAAGGUUCUGGAACAGGUUCUUACAGGAAGGGCAGCCGAGAACAUCAAUGAUUAAAAGGGGGCUGAGAAGAGGAAACUGAUGGACAAAGAGGUGAGAAGUGGGAGAAAGAACGAAAAUCUGGAGGUUGGAGGAUAAACAAACCCACAUCCUUGUGGAUGAAGAAGGAUACCAAAAACUCAUUUUCCUGGAAGGAGCAAUUUUUGAAAUCAGCUACACUGAGGCUGCAGAUUGAGUGAAGGUCUUUUCCAUGUGAAUUUGUCCUGCAUCUGGGAUAAAGGUAUAAUGAUUACCUAAAGCAUGUUCUGUUCAUGGAAGAUCACUGGAACACAAAAGACCAAGCUCACAGCAUAUUCAAGACAUCUGCUCGUAUUCCACUGGCCAAAGAAAGUGAUGUGGCCCAGCCUAAAGUCAGUGAAUGGAUGAGGAAAGGAAGGCAUGGAAAGUGGACUGGCAUGGCUAUGAGUUAGAAGCAGUCAGAGUUCAGUUCAGAAACCUCUGAAUUCAAGGCCAAGGCUCUGGGGACGAGGUUUUCCCCCAACAUCAGUAAGCUUUGGAAACUUUUUAAAAAGUGGAAGAAAAAGUGAUACCUAAUACAGUGCUGUCCACAUGAUAUGCAACCAAUACAUAUUCAAUAAAUGAGUAAAUAUGAAAGAACAAAUUUAAAUGAUGUCAACAUAUUAUCUCCAACAGUUAAGAAUCUUACACUUAGUUCCCUGCAUAAAGCUUCCUGCAUAGUCUUCAGUUUUGUUAACUAAAAGGUGUGACCUGAUAAUAUUAUUGGUUCAAGUGAUAACUGCUUUGUACCAACUAACUGGUUUUUCAACAGAUUUGUUAUUACUGUGCAUAAGUGUUGGAAACAGUUUGUUCAUAGGAGUCUGUUUUUUUUUUCUGGAGUCUUAGGAAAGUGGCUGGUUUUACUCUGAAACAUCAUAACUUUGCAAUCAGGAACCAGGUACAAAAUGAGUAACUGUUAGCGAAAACAACCAGAAGCCACAUUUUUAGCUAUCUCUGUCAUGUAGCUACAAAUAAGAAAUACCAUUCCACCAACUUUGUGUCAGGUGCCUUUUUAUAUAAUAUGAAGAGUACUGUUUAAGUUCAGGGGAGAGCUAAAUACUGGGGUCCCUGUUAUGAAGGAACUCAAGAAGCCUUGAUGAAUGUAUAGUGAAUGAUGAGUAACAUGUUGGUCUAAGGUAGCCAGAGACAAGAAAGACCAUCUCUGCCUGGAAAGGGCAGGCCAGCUUCAUGGGGAAGAUGAUACUUGAAAUGGAUCUUGAAGGAUGGUGAUGCAUUUAAUGGGGUGCUUGGAACAAAAACAAAGGCAAGGAUGUGAAAACAUGCAGGGUGAUUUUGGUGGAGAGUUUUGCUGGAGAAAAGCACUCAAAUGGGGUCGUCAAGGUAGAUAAACCUGAUAAGGGAGUUAGUUUGCAGAUUGUUGCGGGCGUGAAGUGCUAGGCCAAAAGUUAGGAAGUUCUUGAAGUGUCUAGGUGUGAAACAAUGACGGUCUGAAUGAAGAUGUAGCCAUGAAAAUCAAAAAACAUUUAUUCAUUUUAGAGGCAUUGAUUUCUACAAAUUUCACUGAAUUGGUAAUUCCAACGUAGGAGGCAAGGGAGAUAAAGUAUCAAAGAUGACUAGAUGCUGA